GUCCCCGUCUCGGAGACUGCAGACUAAACCAGUCAUUACUUGUUUCAAGAGCGUUCUGCUAAUCUACACUUUUAUUUUCUGGGUGAGAGACGAAGGCGCCUGGGGCCGGCAGGGGAUCCCGGGCUUUUAGUUGUGGGGGGUGUGACCCUGAGCGGCGGGAGCUCAGGUCGGGAACGGUGUGGGGUUUGGGCGGCCAUCGCGCCUGGGACCCCGACGCCGGCGACCAGUGACUGGGCCCCGAACAAAGAGCUCAGGCAUCUCGCCGGCGCUGGGGUCGGAGUGCGGGACGAAGGCAGCCGACAGGCUGAGCUGGGACCCAGACGUACCAGCGUUCGAGUUCGAUACGGGAGGCGAGGUGGGGCCUUAAGCCCCCAGAGCACGCAGACGGUGACCCUGGACCUUUGCAAAGGCAAGCAAGGCUUGCCCGGCCCCUUUGAGGGCUCACUUGCAUAAUAGUGUCUUUCUUUUCACUGCUUCGUAAGAGAGGAGUGUUUCGCAGAUCACUGGCGUUAUCCUUCUUGCAGUUGGCAUUUGGGGCAAGGUGAGCCUGGAGAAUUACUUUUCUCUUUUAAAUGAGAAGGCCACCAAUGUCCCCUUCGUGCUCAUUGCUACUGGUACCGUCAUUAUUCUUUUGGGCACCUUUGGUUGUUUUGCUACCUGCCGAGCUUCUGCAUGGAUGCUAAAACUGUAUGCAAUGUUUCUGACUCUCGUUUUUUUGGUCGAACUGGUCGCUGCCAUCGUAGGAUUUGUUUUCAGACAUGAGAUUAAGAACAGCUUUAAGAAUAAUUAUGAGAAGGCUUUGAAGCAGUAUAACUCUACAGGAGAUUAUAGAAGCCAUGCAGUAGACAAGAUCCAAAAUACGUUGCAUUGUUGUGGUGUCACCGAUUAUAGAGAUUGGACAGAUACUAAUUAUUACUCAGAAAAAGGAUUUCCUAAGAGUUGCUGUAAACUUGAAGAUUGUACUCCACAGAGAGAUGCAGACAAAGUAAACAAUGAAGGUUGUUUUAUAAAGGUGAUGACCAUUA
rnacentral:sRNA from 1 species